AUACCUCACUCUUGGAUUCCUUGCGAAGCCCAAGACGUGGAUUCUGGAGGUUUGCAGGCCAUCACUGGUCAGCUCCUCUUAAAUGCAUUAGCGGAACUCUAUGCAGUACCAGCCUCGGUUUGAUAAUCCUAUCUAUGCUGUCGCUGUUGACUGUGCUGUUUGGCUUACAAUUGUCUUCGGACUGUCGCAUUUUUGUGGCACAAACUUUAA
rnacentral:misc_RNA from 1 species